GAUUGUUUUUUUUCUUGCAGUUAGUUCUUACAGGUUUAACACGUGCAGUACAUAUAAUUCAAGCUCAGGUGGUAUGGCAUAUGGUUUUUGCAGUAUCUGAAAUUGAAAAUCCAUCAGUGUGCGACCGCAUAGAGUGCUAUUCUAUCAGCCCGAAGGGAAGAUCUUCCAGGCAGGAAAAGAAGGAGAGGAAACGGAUUCCUGCUCUGCUCUACUGAAACUAUUGCCGGGCGAAUGCGGCAACGGACAGGAGCACACUGCCUCUUUCCUCUGAUAUCACCAAGGGGCCAAGUCGAAGGCUCGAGUAUAGAUUCCCUAUGCUCAUGUGAACGGCCGGCCCGUAGAUCUAAAAGGAUCCAAAAAAAGACUGGAUAUGAGAACAACUAACUUUUUUUGUUGAUGGUGCAUUGGAAAAGAGUUU